CUUCCUCCAUCUUAAAAGCCAGCUUCUGCAA
rnacentral:piRNA from 1 species